UUUGAAUCUUGAGUGUUAGAUGGUUUUUCAAAAUUGUGGGCCAUAGGAGAAGAACCUGCAGAGACUGAUUUGCGUGACCAUGGAUUAUUUCGUCUAAAUACUGCUGUCAUCAAGCCACAACCAGGUUUCCUCUCAGAGAAAAUAAAACCACCAAACUCGGUCGUAGGCUUAACGAGGAUCUCUACAAUUUUAGAAAUGACAAUGCUUCAUUUAGAAAACAACACCACAGGAAGAAAAAAAAGAAGCAUUUGAGCCUUACACGUUUCCAGCUUCUACAUGUCAAACAUUAUGACAACCACAAAAUAAAUAAGGGGCAUUCUACGAGGAAUUGCAAAGUAAGCAGAAAUAAAUGAAAAAAGAUGCAGGCAUUUUACAACCCCACAUGUGAAUUAUGUGGCAGCAUUACAAAGUGUAGGAGCAUGAGGCCCCCCAGUCCAAAAAUAAAAAUUGCAUUCUAUUAUCCCAUUGAUCAGAAGAUCAGCAAUGAUCAGUGGAGAACAAUGGGUGGAGGGGACGGUGACCACAUCCAGUUAAUACAAAUUAAAGUAGUUUUACAUGUUCAAGUAACUUAAACAAUACACUAUUAGCUCAACAGUUUUGGUCAGAUUAAUGGAAGGGCCAUGUGUGCGUAUUGAUUUGUACAUUUCAAGGAAUAAAGAAAUCUAUAUAUAUGUGUAGGCGUCAACAUGUAAGUAGCACUGGGUAGUACAUCACCAUUGAAAUAGACUUUCUGGAUAGGAAUUAACUUCAA